rnacentral:lncRNA from 1 species
CGAGAAGCAAAGAAGACACAGCACAUUCCAGGAGACUGCUAGCAAAUGGGUCUCACCUUGUUCCUAACAAGGUGGCUAACGAAACAGAAGAUGUGCAUGGAGUGGCAUUCAGGAAGGAAGGCUCGAAGGCCUACUCUCAACACCCGAUACAGAAGAGCAGGAAGAAGGCCAUCGAGUGUUAUAUAAGACAGGCUUGGAGACACAUCUGCU